rnacentral:rRNA from 1 species
AACGAACGCUGGCGGCAUGCCUAACACAUGCAAGUCGAACGGACGGUAGCAAUACCGUUAGUGGCGGACGGGUGAGUAACGCGUGGGAACCUGCCUCGAAGUUCGGAAUAACCGCGGGAAACUGCGGCUAAUACCGGAUGUGGCCUGAGGGUCAAAGGCGCAAGUCGCUUCGAGAGGGGCCCGCGUCCGAUUAGCUAGUUGGUGGGGUAACGGCCUACCAAGGCGACGAUCGGUAGCUGGUCUGAGAGGAUGAUCAGCCACACUGGGACUGAGACACGGCCCAGACUCCUACGGGAGGCAGCAGUGGGGAAUAUUGGACAAUGGGGGAAACCCUGAUCCAGCAAUGCCGCGUGGGUGAUGAAGGCCUUCGGUU